rnacentral:rRNA from 1 species
ACUGAAUCCAUAGGUUAAUGAGGCGAACCGGGGGAACUGAAACAUCUAAGUACCCCGAGGAAAAGAAAUCAACCGAGAUUCCCCCAGUAGCGGCGAGCGAACGGGGAGGAGCCCAGAGCCUGAAUCAGCAUGUGUGUUAGUGGAAGCGUCUGGAAAGGCGCGCGAUACAGGGUGACAGCCCCGUACACAAAAGCGCAUGUGUUGUGAGCUCGAUGAGUAGGGCGGGACACGUGGUAUCCUGUCUGAAUAUGGGGGGACCAUCCUCCAAGGCUAAAUACUCCUGACUGACCGAUAGUGAACCAGUACCGUGAGGGAAAGGCGAAAAGAACCCCGGCGAGGGGAGUGAAAAAGAACCUGAAACCGUGUACGUACAAGCAGUGGGAGCACAGGUUUACCUGUGUGACUGCGUACCUUUUGUAUAAUGGGUCAGCGACUUAUAUUCUGUAGCAAGGUUAACCGAAUAGGGGAGCCGGAGGGAAACCGAGUCUUAACCGGGCGUUAAGUUGCAGGGUAUAGACCCGAAACCCGGUGAUCUAGCCAUGGGCAGGUUGAAGGUUGGGUAACACUAACUGGAGGACCGAACCGACUAAUGUUGAAAAAUUAGCGGAUGACCUGUGGCUGGGGGUGAAAGGCCAAUCAAACCGGGAGAUAGCUGGUUCUCCCCGAAAGCUAUUUAGGUAGCGCCUCGUGAAUUCAUCUCCGGGGGUAGAGCACUGUUUCGGCUAGGGGGCCAUCCCGGCUUACCAACCCGAUGCAAACUGCGAAUACCGGAGAAUGUUAUCACGGGAGACACACGGCGGGUGCUAACGUCCGUCGUGAAGAGGGAAACAACCCAGACCGCCAGCUAAGGUCCCAAAGUCAUGGUUAAGUGGGAAACGAUGUGGGAAGGCCCAGACAGCCAGGAUGUUGGCUUAGAAGCAGCCAUCAUUUAAAGAAAGCGUAAUAGCUCACUGGUCGAGUCGGCCUGCGCGGAAGAUGUAACGGGGCUAAACCAUGCACCGAAGCUGCGG